UGUAGGAGUAGGUGGAUUGAUCAAGAAGAAAAUAUCAUAGUCCGAGUCUUAGUGGAUAUCUGUAGAGGCUGGACACAUGCGCGGCCCAACAGCGAACCUUGAAAAUCUAUGGAUCAUCGGAUUGCAGAGUUCGUCUACCCACACAAGGUGAUAUGAUUAUCAUCUAAUUAAAAGUAGUUCAAAUCUCUAAUUUUAUAUUUUUAAUAUUAGAUGCAUGAUCGA
rnacentral:lncRNA from 1 species